UGAUCUCUUCGUACUCUUCUUG
rnacentral:miRNA from 1 species